CCUACGGGAGGCAGCAGUAAGGAAUAUUGGUCAAUGGAGGCAACUCUGAACCAGCCAUGCCGCGUGCAGGAUGACGGGCCCUAUGGGGUUUGUAAACUGCUUUUAUUACAAGAGAAAACCCUACGGUACGUGUACCAGGUUGAUAGUAUUGUAAGAAUAAGCAUCGGCUAACUUACGUGCCAGCAGCCGCGGUAAGACGAAGGAUGCAAGCGUUAUCCGGAUUCAUUGGGUUUAAAGGGGUUAGCGUAGGCGGACUGAUAAGUCAGUGGUGAAAUCUCUUUGCCUAACAAAGAAACUGCCAUUGAUACUGUCGGUCUAGAGUAUAGAUGACGUUGGCGGAAUAUGACAUGUAGUGGUGAAAUACUUAGAUAUGUCAUAGAACACCGAUUGCGAAGGCAGCUUAACGAAACUAUAACUGACGCUGAGGCACGAAAGUUGCGGGGGAUCAAACAGGAUUAGAUACCCUGGUAGUCCGCACCGUAAACGAUGAUUACUCGUUGUUGCGAUAUNNANNGCGACGACGACGAAGAGA
rnacentral:rRNA from 1 species